ACGGGUGAGUAACGCGUGGGUAACCUACCCAACAAACCGGGACAACCCUUGGAACCGAGGGCUAAUACCGGAUACGCUUAUAAGUUGGCAUCAACGUAUAAGGAAAGGUGGCCUCUGAAUAUGCUGCCGAUGAUGGAUGGACCCGCGUCUGAUUAGCUGGUUGGUGGGGUAAAGGCCUACCAAGGCGACGAUCAGUAGCCGGCCUGAGAGGGUGAACGGCCACACUGGGACUGAGACACGGCCCAGACUCCUACGGGAGGCAGCAGUGGGGAAUCUUCCGCAAUGGACGAAGGUCUGACGGAGCAACGCCGCGUGUAUGAUGAAGGUCUUCGGAUUGUAAAGUACUGUUUUUAGGGAAGAACGGUCUCUUCAGGAAUAUGGAGGAGACAUGACGGUACCUAAGGAGGAAGCCCCGGCUAACUACGUGCCAGCAGCCGCGGUAAUACGUAGGGGGCGAGCGUUGUCCGGAAUUAUUGGGCGUGAAGGGCGCGUUGGCGGGUAUUUAAGUCCGGUGUGAAAGAUCAGGGCUCAACCCUGAGAGUGCAUCGGAAACUGGGUAUCUUGAGGACAGGAGAGGAAAG
rnacentral:rRNA from 1 species